AGGGAUGUGAGCAGUGGAGAGGACUCGGAUCAGGCUCAAAAACGGCUGAAGAUGUAAGAAUAGUAUGGCUUCUUGGAUCUUCAUAUUCACUCUGUUCCUCUUUCUACUUUUGUCUAUUAUUUCUUUUGGUUUUCUUCCCUCGGUGUACAUGCUAUGCUUUCUGUUUAUCAGACUCUUAGCAGUAUUUCUUGAGAUUCACGUUAAGAGCUGUUACAUUAGAUUA
rnacentral:misc_RNA from 1 species